rnacentral:rRNA from 1 species
AUGCACGAUUCCAUGUCGGCUUUCCCCGUUGAGGCCGUUUUACGAAAAGAAAGAAAAAAGAAAGAGCACCGGAUGCAUAAUUCCAUGUCGUCUCUCCAACCUCCAGUUCCAUGCCGUCACGUCACCGCUCACGCCUGGAACAGAUCCGAGCCAACUCAGUUCAUGCACGCAGACGCAGGCACGCCGCGACAGGGACCCGGCGACGCACACGCACCCACCCACCCCCGCCCAUCGCGUACUACAAAUUACAGUAGUAGAACCCAGCCGCGAGCCGGAGACCGGACGGACGGCAUACAGUCGUCGUCGCCCGCCGCGCCCAGCCUUCCCGCCAGGCCGCCCGGUAAGAAGCCAAGCCAAGCAGGCCACUCCUUCCCUCCGCUUUCUCCUCGAUCGUGCGGGGUAGAUAGAGUAGAGUAG